UCUAUAAGAUGUUCUCCCUGGAGAUGGGUUUGGUUUGAGACUGCUGGAAAUGGCCUGGCUCUAUCAGAAGCAGCAUUCCUGCCUAUCAUGUAAAGGAAAUGUCGUUGCCAGCUAAGUGGUUUGCUUUGGAACGUGUGCCCCAGCGCUUGUUGUGUUUGGAAGGCAUUCCACAGAUGUGAACCCCAGGUCACUGAUUUGUCUUGCAUCUGAAGGGUUCCUCUCUCACUGAGAAGCAGAGAGGCCACAUUCUUUUAACUCAAGAUAACCAGUCCCUCCAGAAAGGCCCAGCUGGGGCACCGGUCAAACGGUUAGUUUAGCAGCCCUGGGGAAUAUAGCACGGAUCUCUUCGAUGAUCAGCAGGGGAAUGAAGACUUUGCAACAUCUCAUGAAGAAUGGCUGGGGACUUCAGAUUUGAUAAGAAUGCAGACAUAAUGGCUGGAACUUGAGCAACCAUUUUGGAUCCUGGAGGUGGAAGCCACACACUGAGACUGUGGAACCCAAGACAGGAUCACGAGACCAUUCAAAUCUCUCCAUUCCUUCAAGAGCUGCUCUUCCUGCUGACGCAAUUGAUGUUGGGGAUUUUUUGCCAUUGAAAGCUGAACUUGACACAACUUACACUUUCUUAAAGGAAACACUUAUAAAUCCUGCGCCCCUGGCAUCAUCUCACUCAUCUCCAGUGACGAUGUCUGCUACUGCCAAGCGACCAGCUCAGAUUGGAUUAUGACUUUAUGAAAUAAAAAGCAUGCAGGAAGAGUUAACAGUACAAUUAAAUUGUUUUGAUGGGGGAUUUUCUUAUCAGUUGAAUUUUGUUUCAGCUCAAGUAGCCGUGGGUUUUUAAAAAUUGUGUGAUAGCUUGAUGUGUUCAGGUAUCUAUGUCUCCUCGAAUAAUGAAAUAACCAACUUUCUUCCCCCUCCAAGUUUUAUUUAUUAUCACAGUUGCUCAUUUUUAUGUAACAUAUUUUUAAAUGUUAAAGAAUGACACAUUUUAGGUAAUUUCCUUCAGACUUAAAAAAAUCAAUAAGCCAUUUUAGUCUCUAUCUAUCAAAGUUGUUUCAUACUUGUCUAUUUUAAAGCAGGACUGCAAUACUUUAAUAGGAUUGAGAGAGCUAUUUGAAAUGUAUGCCAAUGAUUCCUGUCAUUUCAUGGCAGCCCUGCCAUGGUUCACUGAGCCCCCUCUUCUCUCUUGUCAGCUCAACUGAAGACAAGCAUUUAGUUGCAAACUUUAAGCAGGUUGUGCAAAACAGAAAUGAUGUGACUGCUUCUCCUCCUGCACAAUAAUGUCACUCCUGGUCAAUGUGAGAAGGUCAGGUUGCUCCUUGUAAAGCUACAUGAUACCACUUGCCCAUUUGAACAAGUUAAGUUAACUGCUGCAUCUGGUCCCUGCAGGCAUUGAAAACGCAUCCUUUUUAGCAAGCCUGCUUUUGAUAAGAAAGUCGAGCAUGUGUGCUGGGAGGAUGUCUGUGGUGCGUUUAGGCACUUUUUAAGGACAGUUCCCACACCAGUACAGCAGGUAACUUAUUUAGUAUAAGCUGAAAAACUUCAAGGUAAUGGCUGUUUUGACCUUCAAAAUAGACUCCUUUUUUGUUUGUGUGGUAGGACCCAAGAGUGACGCCCAUCUUUGAUGCUGACAGAAUUUAAAACAAGGCCAUUGCCCUGCAUUUUCUGCCUUGUAGCACACAAAAGUAAAAUUGUAUGUCAGGCCGAGAUGUCGGGGAGCUGACAAGAUGCCCCAGUGACAUUUCAGCUAGAAAGAGCAAGUGUCUUGCAACCAAGUGGUCAAAUAUCAAAUAAUAGGUCAAGCAAGAAGGAGCUGAGUUCUAACCACAAAGAGGUUUCUGGGAACUUACUUGACAAGCUUUUGGGUGCUUUGUGGCUUGACAAAGUGAUGUUCUGUUGGGUAUCGCUAGACAGACGGUUCUUUAUUGCCUUCAGAAGAUCAGACAUUGACAUUGAUCAAACUCUUUAACCCUUAAAGGUUAAAUCCUUGCAGUCUGCAUCAUAGUAAGUGAAGAACAAAAGGCUAUUUGUAAUACGUUAUUUGUUUUUGUUUUAAUCAUUUAACUCCCCAGUGAUAUUAACUUCUGAUGUGAGCUAUACUUUCUGGCAGAGUUUUGAUACAAAAAUCCAUAUUUUAUAUUAUGUUUCAUUAUGGAGUUUCAUUAGAGAUACAUUAGAAAAUAACAGUAUGUAUUAUGGAAUCUAUAUUGUCUUAACUUUACAGUGACAUUUUAUUCAAAUAUACCCAAUUUUUAAGAAUUUAUUAAUUGGCCUUGGUAAAUAAAAUUGGUGUACUAUUUACAUCUUAGCCAAAUCAACCAAGUGAUUUACACCAUCUGAGAUAACACAGCACUAUUACUGUCAUACUGUGUAUUCUCAUAGUACUGGGCCAAUAUAAUAAGCUUUAUAUAAAUCUUUAGAAAGCUAUUUCUAUGAAGUAAAAUUACAUCUUUAACCAAAUUUCUCUUAGUUCUUUCCUUGGAGUUCUUUUUAUUAACCAUUCUGGGUUUUGAAUAUUAAAGAACAUGCCCUGUGUAAUGUAAUAUAACAUGUAAGAAAUUCAACUUGCAAAUUUAUCAUAACACAGAAAAUGCUGUUGUUUUUAUAUAGAUCAUAGAAUAAUUUCUGCAUGUUUCAAAAUACUUUGUUUUGCCGUUCCAUAUAGUAAUUAAGAUAUUGGCAAUACAGGAAUCAAAUACGGUUCAUAUGACAUCAUUGAGCUUCCAAUUCUCACACUGUAGAAAAACAAUGUCCCCUUACAUCACAUAUAUGUCUGGUAUGUGUCUGUAUGUUUAUGUUAAAUCUGUUUCCAUAUCCUAGUAAUUAAAGGGGAAGGAGCACCUUUGUAAAUUUUGCCUUGGACAGACCUUGGUCCUCUUGCCUUAAUUUUACAGUCUGUUAAUGGGAUAACACCAGAAAUAAAUGUAUAUGUCUCUC